AACCUCGGAUAGGUAGAAUCCCCAAU
rnacentral:rRNA from 1 species